rnacentral:rRNA from 1 species
CUGGCUCAGGAUGAACGCUAGCGGCAGGCUUAACACAUGCAAGUCGAGGGGCGAUCGGGGAGUAGCAAUACUCUGCCGGCGACCGGCGAAAGGGUGAGUAACGCGUGAGCAACAUGCCCGUAGGUGGAGGAUAGUCAUUGGAAACGAUGCGUAAUACUCCGUAACAACAGAGGCCGCAUGACCUUUGUUUAAUAGAUUCAUUGCCUACGGAUUGGCUCGCGUACCAUUAGGUAGUUGGUGAGGUAACGGCCCACCAAGCCGACGAUGGUUAGGGGUUCUGAGAGGAAGGUCCCCCACAUUGGAACUGAGACACGGUCCAGACUCCUACGGGAGGCAGCAGUGAGGAAUAUUGGUCAAUGGCCGGAAGGCUGAACCAGCCAUGCCGCGUGCGGGAGGACGGCCCCUAUGGGUUGUAAACCGCUUUUGUGUGGGAGCAAUAAGGCUCACGUGUGAGCUGAUGAGAGUACCAUACGAAUAAGCAUCGGCUAACUCCGUGCCAGCAGCCGC